UCCUGAUGAAAGAGUGUGCCCAAUUAGUUUCUCCAAUUUUCCAGCCAAAGCAGCCUUCCCUGCUUUUGGCACCACGUGGAAGCUGAGGGUGGAUCCAGUAAGCACAAGACCAAUCCUUUCUGUGUUGUUCAGCAUCUUCACGUGUGCAUUAGCCUAUGUGCAAACAGUUGACCUCACAACUGUGAAAUCACAGACAAAAACUGGUUCCUUUUAUCACCACAGGCUGAAAUUACUCUUGUAGAGUUGUAGACAAAUAUUUCUGUGUUUUGGGUCAUCAAAACCAUGUUGCAGAAGUACCAUAUAGUAAAUAACACACUGGUGUUGUGGCACAACAAAUGCAGGCUUUGCUCUUGGAGGCCUUUAAGCAGCAUCAAGUACAGAUUGGGAAGGAACAGACCAUGGAAGAAGCAUCAGAGCAAGAUUUUAUACUCCUGUUAAAGACCAGCACCUUGUAAAUCAGACUCGGUUUUACUUGGCUAAGUGAAGCAUAAGCCCAAGAACAACAUCUAAAGUAGGCCAGGACGAGGUCACAGCUGUGUGCUGGGGAAGACAGCACGAUCCCUGGCUCCCAAAUACAUCACACACACACAUUCUCUCACAGGCUCCCGGCUUUGGAAUCGAGCCCAGGGGUGCAUCGGGAGAACACUGCAGGGAGUGAAACCUGGGCCAUGCCUUGGUGGCAGCCAGGUCAAACUGCUUUGCAAGCAAGCGUUGCCUUUCUCAGCCGAUGAGCCCUCGGUGAUCUGCCAGUGACUAAAGAAAACAUAGAGGAAAAUGAAGAAAUUCAAGCCUUUUGUUCAGUCCUCCCUCUACCAAGCAGUGGCAUCCACUUCCACUGAAAAUAGGAAAAAAAAGUUGAAUACCGUGAGAUACCUUGUGUCCAGCGAGUACUUUCUCCCCUUCCCAGGGGAAGGCAGGGCUGGACGCCUUACAGCAGUUUUCCUCACAGCCUGUCAAGCCAGAAACCACAUGUUCAUGGUUCGUGCUCCCUGCAAGGCAGGGUCUGGUAAAUAGUCUCUUGUGCUCUGAGAGUGUUAGCCCCUCUGGUUUUGUGUGUGAGGACGCUGUGGACGAGGGCUUUGCUGAGAAAAGUGUAAUUUACCUUGAACUCUCUCAGUACUGUGUGGUCCUCCAUCAGGAAGGGCUGCUAAUGAUGCAAACCCUGCCCACAGCCCUGAUCUUUAGUCUGGCUUCGUGCACACACAUGUGAACUGCUGAUUCCUAAGGAUUUUUAACGAGGGGAGUGGAUCCAAGAAUGAAGCACAGCCUUGGCCAACCUGCUGCUUGGUGAGACCCAGAGGCUAUUGCAGACUGCUGGUAUUGGACACAAAAGCAACCAGAGAACAUCUCUGAUCCCCACAAGAGCAUUUGAAAAGAAAAAACUGUGAGGCCAUUUCAACACUGGGAGCUUCUCCAAGAGGCCUCAGAUAGCCCAGGAGAGGAAGCAGCAGGAAGAUGGAUCCUCCCCUAAACCCAGCGAGUGGCAGUUCAGAGCCAAGACCCUCCAACAACCUGGUCCAGCAGGGGACAGCUGAGAGGUGCAACUUUGAAGAAAGGAGAGGGAAGAAACCAGAAUAAUUUGUGUAUGCCUUUUCCUUCCAAGCAGUGAACAUUGUGUGGGCUGUUCAUGCCUAAAAGAAGCUGCCAGCCUGCAGCAGCCAAUGUCACUAAGUCACCGAGGCAGGCAGGCCCUCAGUGUAGGCACAUAAAGUAGACAGGUGAGGGGGCUGUUGGGAUCUGCUCACUGACAAUCACACACAAACUACAGCAGUUGAAAUAUGUAUUCCAAAGGAACAAGGAAUUAUCCUAGUGAGGCAUGGGGUAGCCCACAGUCUUAAUGUCCUGUUGGAUAUGGAUAAUGUUCCCGUGUUUCUUACCAGCAUAGUACUCCAAUAUAGGUGGAGGUCUUAUUCUCAUUGCCAAAACCAGAUUCUUCCUAACUGAUCUUUGUUAAUUUUACCCCUGCUAUUUUAAAAUGAUUUUGUUCUGUAUCCUGUAUACCAGAGAGCUAAUA